rnacentral:rRNA from 1 species
UACAGAGGUGGCAAGCGUUGUUCGGAAUUACUGGGCGUAAAGGGCGCGUAGGCGGCUUGGUCAGUCCCGUGUGAAAUCCCUCGGCUCAACUGAGGAACUGCACGGGAAACUGCCUGGCUUGAGUUCGGGAGAGGGAAGCGGAAUUCCGGGUGUAGCGGUGAAAUGCGUAGAUAUCCGGAGGAACACCGGUGGCGAAGGCAGCUCGCUGGGACGGUACUGACGCUGAGACGCGAAAGCGUGGGGAGCAAACAGG